rnacentral:rRNA from 1 species
AGAUGAGAUUUCCCUUAGCGCAAGCUAGUAAGAUCCCUGAAAGAUGAUCAGGUAGAUAGGUUCGGGGUGGAAGCGUGGCGACACGUGGAGCUGACGAAUACUAAUCGAUCGAGGACUUAUCCUAAA